GGCCCGACCACUGUGGGAGUAGUUGUAGUUGGACCCUGACUGCCAGUCUGCCAGUUGCCGUCCUGCAAUUGUUGGGAGUCAUGGUGAAAACGUUGGCAUGCUGUCUAUUUCCAAAAGGAGGUGAAAACAUCUCGUCUGCCAUAAAUGUUAGUACAGGAUUUGAGGCAUCAUGAUGAUUCCGAGCAAAACAACCCUCGCACAUCCCUUCGGUCUGUGGGGUUGCGUCACGUGGCGACUUGCCGGACGUCGGAUGAAAGCGGAG
rnacentral:lncRNA from 1 species